GUCUACGGCCAUGCCACCCUGAACAAGCCCGAUUCUGUCUGAUCUCGGAAGCUAAGCAAGGUUGGGCCUGGUUAGUACUUGGAUGGGAGAUGACUUAGGAAGACUAGGUGCUGUAGGCG
rfam:Pteropus alecto contig103767, whole genome shotgun sequence.